rnacentral:lncRNA from 1 species
UCGGAAACAUCUGCCUCCCCCAGCUCGACCAUGCUUCCCCCACCCAGUGAGGCUGAGCUGCGGCUUUCAGUCUGAGCCCCUGCGGCCCGCAGAGGCUGCUGCUGGGCUGGGCCCGGGCGGCACUAGGCUCGCACCUCGGCCCGUCCCCCACAGGAGGGGCCUCGGUUUUCUUCUCUGCACGUUUGCGUUUGGGGGAGCCUCCUGCCUCCACUCACUGCCACGGAGGGACUGGGCCAGGCCCUUGAUUCAUUUGGACCGGUCCAAAGUCUGCACUCCUACUUUGGCCCCUUGCCUCUCAGACCUUCUGAGAGCUGACCCCUUGGGAGAUGAAAGUCUAGGCUCUGCCAGCAGCCUUCAAAAUCAGUCCGAGGCCAGGCAAACUUUGCAGCACUCGUUUGCAGAGCUGGGGAUCCCUCCACAGAUGUGGGAAACAAGGAAAUCCAGAGAAGCAAAAUCGGGACAAUUUAGGAAGAGAGCUGGUGUUAAAGCUGAGGGCCCAUUCUCCACACAGAAGCAAGGAGCGGUUGCUGUUUGUGAAAGCAAAACAUAACAACAAUAUCCAGAUACAAAACAAGAUGGAUUCUGCACGUCCAGUUGUCUUGUUUAAGAUGCAAACAGUAGGAGAUUGUCAUUUUCACCAUUGAAAUGUGAAGCACUGUUUCGAACCUUUGUGGGGGACUUACCAUGGGUGGGAGCUAUUGCAAUCUAUUUUAUUACUCAUUUAACCCUUAGCUCGCCAUCUGCAUCACCCUACUAUGCCCACUUAACAACACUGCAAUGGAGACAUAGAGUGAUUUGCAUGAGAUCAAAGGGGAAGUCAGGGAAUAGCAGAUGUUGGAUUUUGAAUUCCUGAAACACAGUGGCCCCAGAACCCUGCAUUUCAACCCCUUUCAUUCCACCUUCUAACACUCUUUGGCAGUUGGGUGAGUCAGAUCCUGGCCCGUCCGUCUACCCAUGCUCAAGGUUCUCUCUGACUAUUUAAAGCUACAUUAAAAAAAAAAAAAAAAACUCCCUGAAGGAGGUAGUCAAAAUAAAUAGAAUUUCUGAGAUUCAGGUGGCUUGGAUGUUAAUCAUUAACUUAGUGGUAAAGCUUUAACGGCAGCCUUUACAGCAAUGUACUCACCAGGUUUUACAUUCAAUUCAACAGUAAAAAUUUAAGUAUCUAAUCUAAGUCAGACUCCAGACACAAGCCAAGGCCCUCAGUUUUCACAUUUGGUUUGCCUUUUGUUACAAAGAUUUUGGGGUGGGGGAUAGGUUCGUUUUUUCCCCCCCAAAAGGUGGGUUCUUUUUUUUCUGAGAGGUGGUUUCAUUUCUCUCUCAGGGAGGUAACUCAGAGACCAGCUGGGCCUCUCGCCUGGCAGAAGUGUGGGGCACACUUCUGAGAGCAGGGCCUCCAACUCACAAGGUCACUUCUGCCACAGGGUGGGUCUUCUUAGCCAUUCUCCUUCAAGUCUACCUGUGUCACACCAUGCUGCAGCCUGGUGCUGGUUCCUUUUGUUUCUUUUUCUUUUCUUUUGCUUUUGUGUGUUUGUUUGUUUUUCAAGACAGGGCUUCUCUGCCUAGCCCUGGCUGUCCUGGAACUCACUAUGUAGACCAGGCUGGCCUAGAACUCAGAGAUCUGUCCCCUCUGCCUUCCAAGUGCUGGGAUUAAAGGCCUGAGCCACCACCAAUACCCCCCUCCAGGAGUCAAGGUCUUCUCUCCUUUUUCCAAGGGGCCGUGGGAUUGAGUGCUUUUCUGAGGACCACCAGAAGAAUUGUGACAGGAUACACCUGGGGUUGGGCUUGGCUUUCGUAUUUUCUGGGAAUACUCCAGCUCUACUUUUUCCCCACAAUGCAGCUUUGUAAUUUAUUAUUGUAAUGGACUAGGAAUUCAGAGCAUUGAAAAGAAAGAAAGACACCAGGUGGUCUUGCCUUAGAUCCUUCCUUGCCCCUUUGUUUCUGUAAGAGAACAGAGCUGAAGAAAGAUGUGGAGCCCAGGUUAGCCAAAGUCACACACAAUUAAUGAAGGAAG